rnacentral:tRNA from 1 species
UCCCGUGUAGCUCAGUUGGUAGAGCAUGGUGCUUGCAAUGCCAGGGUUGUGGGUUUGAUUCCCACAGGGGAC